rnacentral:rRNA from 1 species
AUUGAACGCUGGCGGAAUGCUUUACACAUGCAAGUCGAACGGCAGCACGGACUUCGGUCUGGUGGCGAGUGGCGAACGGGUGAGUAAUGUAUCGGAACGUGCCCAGUCGUGGGGGAUAACGUAGUGAAAAUUACGCUAAUACCGCAUACGAUCUAUGGAUGAAAGCGGGGGAUCGCAAGACCUCGCGCGAUUGGAGCGGCCGAUAUCAGAUUAGGUAGUUGGUGGGGUAAAGGCCCACCAAGCCAACGAUCUGUAGCUGGUUUGAGAGGACGACCAGCCACACUGGAACUGAGACACGGUCCAGACUCCUACGGGAGGCAGCAGUGGGGAAUUUUGGACAAUGGGCGAAAGCCUGAUCCAGCCAUUCCGCGUGCAGGAUGAAGGCCCUCGGGUUGUAAACUGCUUUUGUACAGAACGAAAAGGUUUCUACUAAUACUAGGAGCUCAUGACGGUACUGUAAGAAUAAGCACCGGCUAACUACGUGCCAGCAGCCCUGUAA